UUAACAAGCCGCUAUG
rnacentral:tRNA from 1 species